UGCACUUUGGCUUCUUCUCAAUAUCCACUAACGUGCGCGGCUCUGCGAACUUAACACUUCGGCUUCUUUUCAAUAUCCACUAACGUGUGUGGCUCUGCGAAUUUGACACUGAAUCGCUUCACUUUUCGGUAUUCGAGAGGCGUACACUACAAUGGCAGCCAUUCCGUGUAAAGUUUUAUUUGUCCUCAGAUUAAAUCUAGGAAAUAAUUUUCAUCAGCAUCGUUGAAUGGGAAUAUUACCCUAAGUUCAUGCACAGUAAUGCCAUCUGUUAUUAACUCACUGUAAUAUUUUAACUUUAAAUGUAAAUUUGCCGAAAUAUCUGCAACAGUGAUGCCGAAUUAGUAUUUUUGCAACCGAUGAAGAUUGCAAUAAAAAACGGUUACUGCUUCA